rnacentral:rRNA from 1 species
UACAGAGGUCUCAAGCGUUGUUCGGAUUCAUUGGGCGUAAAGGGUGCGUAGGCGGCGCGGUAAGUCGGGUGUGAAAUCUCGGAGCUUAACUCCGAAACUGCAUUCGAUACUGCCGUGCUUGAGGACUGGAGAGGAGACUGGAAUUUACGGUGUAGCGGUGAAAUGCGUAGAUAUCGUAAGGAAGACCAGUGGCGAAGGCGGGUCUCUGGACAGUUCCUGACGCUCAGGCGCGAAAGCGUGGGGAGCAAACAGG